rnacentral:rRNA from 1 species
GACGUAGGGUGCGAGCGUUGUCCGGAUUUAUUGGGCGUAAAGAGCUCGUAGGCGGCUCGUCGCGUCGACCGUGAAAACCCGCGGCUUAACUGCGGGCUUGCGGUUGAUACGGGCGGGCUAGAGUUCGGUAGGGGAGACUGGAAUUCCUGGUGUAGCGGUGAAAUGCGCAGAUAUCAGGAGGAACACCGGUGGCGAAGGCGGUUCUCUGGGCAUUACCUGGCGCUGAGGAGCGAAAGUGUGGGGAGCGAACAGG